GGACACCUUCCACGCUGUGGAAGCUUUGUACUGUCAUUCUGCUCAGUAAAGCCUACAGCCUUUUUUCUCUCGGUCGGGUCCACGUCUCUCUCUCUUGCCGCGGGCUGCCGCCACCCCAACCCUUUGGCGUGGCUAAGGCAACAACCUUUGGUGUUACCCUGGUUUGCAAAGAGGAAUGCCCUCUCCAAACAUGCCUAUCGAAUAAGGUCCUGUUCAUGAUGCAAAUCUCUAUGUGAUCUUCCUCCGGAAUUCUUGAGCCCAUGUGAGUUCUUUCUAAUAUUUUUUCUUUAAAAUUUUUCAUUGGUACAUAAUAGAUGUAAAUAUU
rnacentral:lncRNA from 1 species